rnacentral:ncRNA from 1 species
UAGAUAGUAGAUGGUUACGUGUGUUGGGUAUGACCUAAGGGCGAGGAACAAUGAAGAGCUCGGUUUCGUGCCGGUCACUCUUACAUUAAACUGUCCCUAUCUACUAUCUAGCAAAACCAAUGCCAAAAGAACGGGCCUGGAAAAAUUAGCGGAGAAAGAAGACAUUGUUGAGCUUGACUCUAGACUGGCAAUGUAAGGAGACAUGAGAGGUGUAGCAUAAGUGGGAGAUGGCAACAUCACCGGUGCAAUACUACUACUUUCAUCGUUUCCUUACUUACUCGGUUGGGCGGAGCGCGUGCCCCGAGGGCCUCGUGCCACGGCGGUCACGGUGUUCUAGAGCCAAGCGUGUCAGAGUGGCGAGAGGCCUCGAGCCAUCGCUGUCAAUACUCCCGCGUGAUCAGAUUCGAGGACACUGCCAGGCGGGGAGUUUGACUGGGGCGGUACAGGGUGUUGCAGAUACAUACAGCGUAGUAUACGGGUUGCAUACCCGGACACUGCCAGGGGCUGGCAGUGGCAGGCGCGAUUCAGUAGGUAAUGACAGCAUACACAUAUACCGACAAAACUUAUCGAUCGAGUGGAUCACGCGCAUUUUUCCAAUUAGGCUUGCAGCGUAUCAAUUAUGCACAAUUAUUCCUAAACUAUAAUGUAGAAAUAUUGUUGCAUUAAAUAUUACACAUUCAGCAUGGUAACAUUUUAUAUAAAGAAUUAAACGGUUUUUAAAAUAAUUGUAAAAUAUUUAUUUCUCAAAUUUAGAUUUAUAUAAUAAUUUUUGAUAAAUAUUAUUGAAAGAUUUUAUUUCGAUAAAACUGCUUUGUUCAAACGUAUCAUCUAAGCGCAAUUCAAAAUUUUCGUCAAUUUGUGACGCUAUUAUUGUAGAAUAUUCACACAAUAUGCCUAUCGGGGGAG